rfam:Erinaceus europaeus unplaced genomic scaffold scaffold00597, whole genome shotgun sequence
GUGCUUGUUUUGGAAGCACACAUACAGAAAUUGCCAUGAUAGAGAGAUUAUUAUGGCCCCUCCAUAAAGAUAAUACAUAAAUUCAUGAAGUGUUCCAUAUUUUA